rnacentral:lncRNA from 1 species
CCAGACUCAUUUUUUAUUGGUGUGUUCAAUGCUAGAAGUUUGUAAUUCAUUGUUUGUCGUUGGAGGCUGUAUGUCAUAUUUUUUUUUUUUCGUUUAUUUUUUUGUCAAAAAUUAUGCUGUUAUUUUUUCGUUAGAAUUGUUUUACAUUUUAUAGAUGACUAUACAGUAUGGAGUUUUGCCGUUCGGUGACAUUGUUUGUUUAUAGACUAUGUGGAUUAUGGUCUCAUUGACAAUGCUACCACGUCUCCAUAUUUUAAUAUUAACAAUGUCAUCGAUCUAAAAAUUGGACAACGAUUACUAUUACUACGACUUAUUUUGAUAGAAGUUGAGAUCGUCCGAAAUAAUUUCAUGUUUUAACAUUC